GACGAACGCUGGCGGCGUGCUUAACACAUGCAAGUCGAACGAUGAAGCCCAGCUUGCUGGGUGGAUUAGUGGCGAACGGGUGAGUAACACGUGGGCAACCUGCCCCAAACUCUGGGAUAACUCCUCGAAAGAGGUGCUAAUACCGGAUACGAACUAGGUAGACAUCUGCACUAGUUGGAAAGUUUUUCGGUUUGGGAUGGGCCCGCGGCCUAUCAGCUUGUUGGUGAGGUAACGGCUCACCAAGGCUACGACGGGUAACCGGCCGGGGAGGGCGACCGGUCACACUGGGACUGGGACACGGCCCAGACUCCUACGGGAGGCAGCAGUGGGGAAUAUUGCGCAAUGGGCGAAAGCCUGACGCAGCGACGCCGCGUGAGGGAUGAAGGUCUUCGGAUCGUAAACCUCUUUCAGUAGGGACGAAGCGAAAGUGACGGUACCUAAAGAAGAAGCACCGGCUAACUACGUGCCAGCCGCCGCGGUAA
rnacentral:rRNA from 1 species